rnacentral:rRNA from 1 species
AGAGCUUGCUCUUCGUGGCGCAGCUAACGCAUUAAGCUUCCCGCCUGGGGAGUACGGUCGCAAGAUUAAAACUCAAAGGAAUUGACGGGGGCCCGCACAAGCGGUGGAGCAUGUGGUUCAAUUCGACGCAACGCGAAGAACCUUACCAGCUUUUGACAUGUCCGGUAUGAUUUCCAGAGAUGGAUUUCUUCAGUUCGGCUGGCCGGAACACAGGUGCUGCAUGGCUGUCGUCAGUUCGUGUCGUGAGAUGUUGGGUUAAGUCCCGCAACGAGCGCAACCCUCGCCCUUAGUUGCCAUCAUUCAGUUGGGCACUCUAGGGGGACUGCCGGUGAUAAGCCGCGAGGAAGGUGGGGAUGACGUCAAGUCCUCAUGGCCCUUACAGGCUGGGCUACACACGUGCUACAAUGGCGGUGACAAUGGGAGGCAAAGGGGCGACCCCGCGCAAAUCUCAAAAAGCCGUCUCAGUUCGGAUUGCACUCUGCAACUCGAGUGCAUGAAGUUGGAAUCGCUAGUAAUCGUGGAUCAGCAUGCCACGGUGAAUACGUUCCCGGGCCUUGUACACACCGCCCGUCACACCAUGGGAGUUGGUUUUACCUUAAGACGGUUUGCUAACCGCAAGGAGGCAGCCGGCCACGGUAAGGUCAGCGACUGGGGUGAAGUCGUAACAAGGUAGCCG